rnacentral:rRNA from 1 species
GAGUGCAAUCAAACCAACGUCAAUGCACUGGAUCCCAUCAAAACUCUGGAGUUAAGCAUGUUUGGGCUAGAGUAGUACUCGGAUGGGUGACCUGUGGGGAAGUCAUAGUGUUGCACCCU